GCCAAAGUUGCUCAUUUGGGAGAGUGUUAGACUGAAGAUGUGAAGGUCUCUGGAUUGAUUCCAGGCUUUGGCA
rnacentral:tRNA from 1 species